rnacentral:rRNA from 1 species
UACGUAGGUGGCAAGCGUUGUCCGGAAUUAUUGGGCGUAAAGCGCGCGCAGGCGGUUCUUUAAGUCUGAUGUGAAAGCCCACGGCUCAACCGUGGAGGGUCAUUGGAAACUGGAGAACUUUGAGUACAGAAGAGGAAAGCGGAAUUCCACGUGUAGCGGUGAAAUGCGUAGAGAUGUGGAGGAACACCAGUGGCGAAGGCGGCUUUCUGGUCUGUAACUGACGCUGAGGCGCGAAAAGCGUGGGGGAGCAAACAGG